UACAGAGGGUGCAAGCGUUGUUCGGAAUUAUUGGGCGUAAAGGGCGCGUAGGCGGUGCGGUAAGUCUGCAGUGAAAUCUCUGGGCUCAACUCAGAGUCUGCUGUAGAAACUGCCGUGCUUGAGUGUGGGAGAGGUGAGUGGAAUUCCCGGUGUAGCGGUGAAAUGCGUAGAUAUCGGGAGGAGCACCUGUGGCGAAAGCGGCUCACUGGACCACAACUGACGCUGAGGCGCGAAAGCAUGGGGAGCGAACAGG
rnacentral:rRNA from 1 species